rnacentral:lncRNA from 1 species
UGGGAACCUUCUCGAGCGCGGCCACGCGCGCGCGCCGCCGCUUCGGCUCCGGCCUCUCCUCCCCCUCCUCGGCGUCCGUCGGCGCGGCGCGCUUCUCCGGGGGCGGCGUCCCCGCGCGCGGCGGGCGGGGAGCAGGGGGCUCCUCCGCCUGCGCCUCGGGCGCGGCCGCGGCCACCGCCGCCAUUUCUCCGGGGAGGGAUCUGAUCAGCUCCGGGCCGCGGGAGCUUCCGGGGAUUUUUCUCUCCCUCCCCCGCUCCGAUCUGUGCGCGCUAGUGCGCUUGGCUGGGCACGCGUGGUGGGGAUUGCUCGGGUGGUCGCACUCACAUGGCUCUCGCUCUCGGCCGCGCGGGCUCACGUCACGCGGCACGAGCCUGUGACACCGCCGUGGCCGUGCGCGCCCCGCCGAUAAAGACCUGCAGUGGACUCCUCUGUCCGUAGAAUUCUUCCCCCGUUUUCUGUCGCGGUGAUCAACCGUCUCCGUUUUUAUACUGUUGAGCUGGCUGGCCGAGAAGUGCUUAAAAGGUGACUCUAUAGGUAAGCACCAACGAACGUUGACAUUCCAGCUUGUAUGCUAGCAUUACAUGUUUCUCGAUGUGGCAAUAAUGAACACGUGAGGCAUCAUAUCGCAAAAACACGCGUGGACGAUUGCUAGGCGUCAGAUAAGACCAGCUGCGUGGCCAGCCGUUGAUUUGCUCUAAUAGAAUUUAUCUAAAUUAUAAGUGUCACACGUAUGACACGAAACAACUUCAGUUAAAAAUCUUCUAACCUUCUUCGAUGGUUCUUCGAUUAGGUCGUGUGGUCAUCAGUUUCUUCUUCGAUGGCAUGGACGACGGUCUUGGUUCCAAUUUGAUUGCCCAUUUAACUUCGAUCAACAAUGCAUGACGGCGAAGUCUUUCAGCUUCAGCUUCUGGUAUAUCAAAUUAGCCCCAAAGGGCUUCGAAAUGAUAUGUUUGUCAACAAUGCAUAUCCAACUAGUGACCAAUAAAAUCAAACAUAUCCGACUAGUGAUCAAUAAAACUAUGCAUGUCAUGCUUGUGAUCAAUAAAAUUAUAUAUAUAUCCGGCUAGUAAGCUACAAUACUAUGCAUAUCCGACUCGUGCUCAAUAAUACUAUGCAUAUCGGCCUAGUGAUCAAUAAAACUAUGCAUGUCCUAUUUAUGAUCGACAAAAUAAGUUACUAUACUAAAACGGCAAGCCUUUGGUUUUUUUGAGGGGCAGUGCUAUGCACCGGUGCGCCGGCCGCACGAUCCACCAACCCCCGCGCGUCCGCACCGUUGGAUCUUCAUGCAACAUUUUUUUUCGAUGCAGCAAAAUUUUGACGCGAUGCAGCAAUUUUUUCAACGGUUGCAAAAAAAAUAAAAUUUAUAACAAAAAAAUAUCUACGUGAUCGUAGCAAAAGAACGACUUUCCAGCACAGUGGNNNNNNNNNNNNNNNNNNNNNNNNNNNNNNNNNNNNNNNNNNNNNNNNNNNNNNNNNNNNNNNNNNNNNNNNNNNNNNNNNNNNNNNNNNNNNNNNNNNNAUAGGUGGAAUAUCUGGUAGUAUCUUAUAGGACUAUCUUCCUACAGACGCUUGAUUGAGGUUUGGGAAAUCUCGAUCAUAUGUUUGUUCCGAGCAGUUCUAGCUCACAUUUGUUUGCUGUGGCCCCUUAUCGGAAUUUUGUUGUCUGAUGCUUUGAGAAUGCACUCUUGCUAUGUUGUUCGAGUGCAAUGCUAAGUUCUAUUCAGAUAUUCUGUCUUUUGAUUCAGCUUAUCUUCAAAUAUUCUGUGGACUAAUUUGCUGUCCAUCUUCAGGAUGGCUCCACCAACUCGUCAGACCCCAGCGCGUGAGGAUAUGCCUCCUCCACCUCCUCCUCCGCCACCACCGCCGCCUCCUCCUGCAGAGGCCUGGCAGGCGAUGAUGGAAGCUACCAAUGCAAAUACUCAGAUGCUGUUACAGUUGAUCCAGGAGAGAGCCAAUCAUCAGCAAGGCAAUUUCCAGCAGGGUGGCAAUCACUUCGCCAGUCUGAGUCAGUUCCUGUCAAACCAGCCUAGGACGUUCACUUCUUGCGACCAGCCGUUUGACGCGGAAGAUUGGAUCCGUGAUAUGAACAAGCAUUUCGAGUGUAGCAAUGUGCGUCCAGAGGAUUAUGUCAAGUUUGCAACAUUCCAGUUGAAGGGGCAGGCUUCUAUUUGGUGGCAGCAGCUUAAGGACUCCAGAGGUGGCAGGGUGAUGUCUUGGGACGAGUUCUGUCGUGACUUCAGGUCCCACUACAUUCCUUCCAGUUUUGUUGAGGAGAUGCGUGAGAAGUUCAUGCGCUUGAAGCAGGGCAGCAAUUCUGUGUACAAGUACAAUGUUGAGUUCCACGAGCUCGCCCGGUACGCAUUGCAGGAUGUUCCGGAUCAGAAGAGCAAGAUAUACCAGUUCAGGGGUGGCUUGAAGGAGGAUUUGCAGUUAGCACUCGCUUUGCACGAUCCUGAGGAGUUUGACAAAUUCUAUAACUUAGCUCUCAGAGGAGAGGCAGCCUUGCUCAGGGUGGAGAACUCCAAGAAACGUUUCAGAGAUUCCAGCUCUUCCUCGACUCAGGUGGUUCAGAAGCAACAGAGGUUUUGGGUUUCUCCUCCUCCUCCUCCUCGGCACUCUCAGCAGCCGAAGCACUCAGGUGGACGUGGUUCUUCCCGCCCACCCAACCCUGGAUUCCAGCAGAGAUAUCAGCAGCAAAAACAAGGGCCUCCUCAGAUUCAGUUCCGGCAGCCAGCAGAUGUCACUUGUCACAAAUGUGGGCAGAAGGGUCACUAUGCCAACAAAUGCACUUCUCAGCUCCGUCUGCCGCCUCCUCCUCCAGGCAAACCUCCUAGCAACGCUCUUGUGAAGUUCAACCCCAGAUCAGCUCGAGUCAACAUGGUGAAUGCAGCUGAGGCAGAAAAUUCUUCGGAUGUGAUCAUGGGUAAUCUCUUCCUCAAUGAUUUUCCUACUAAAGUCUUGUUUGAUUCUGGUGCAUCGCAUUCUUUCUUGUCUUAUCCGUUUGCGGCAAAGCACGAUAUCCAUCUUCAAGAGUUGGCCAGGUCUUUCGAUAUUGUUUCUCCGGGCAUGCUUAUGAGUUCUCGUUGGUUUGCUCCGGAUGUUUCUAUCAAAAUGGACAAUUAUGCUUUUCUGGCCUCUCCGUAUGUCUUGGGAAAGUCCGACAUUGAUUUGAUCCUUGGUAUGGACUGGUUGGCCAUGAACAAAGCAUCAAUUGAUUGUGAAGCUAAAGAAGUGAAGCUGACCCACUCUUCGGAGGAUGUGAUUAUAUUCGCGGCGCGCGAUGACACAGUCCGCUUGUUCUCCUUGAAUGAAAAGGGUGAGAUCAAUCCCAUUGAGCAAGUUCCAGUAGUCUGCGAAUAUCAGGACGUGUUUCCUGAAGAGUUGCCAGGGAUGCCUCCGCACCGUGAAGUGGAGUUCGUCAUUGAGCUUGAGCCAGGCACAGAGCCAGUGUGCAAGCGGCCGUACAAGCUGGGUCCAGAAGAGUUGAAGGAACUCAAGAGGCAACUCGAUGAGCAGGAGCGUUUGGGUUUGAUCAGACCAAGCUCGUCUCCGUGGGGAUGUGGUGUUCUGUUUGUCAAGAAGAAGGAUGGUACGGAACGACUGUGUGUCGAUUACCGCCCAUUGAACAAGAAGACAAUCAAGAACAAAUAUCCGCUUCCGAACAUAAAUGAGUUGUUCGAGCAGUUGAAAGGUGCUAAAGUAUUCGCCAAGCUUGAUCUCAGAAUGGGCUAUCAUCAGAUUCACAUUCGUGAGGAAGACAUUCCAAAGACGGCAUUCAGGACCAGUUUUGGCUCUUAUGAGUAUACGGUCAUGUCUUUUGGUCUGGCUAAUGCUCCUCCGACUUUUUGCCGAUUGAUGAACUAUAUUUUCUCGCCAUUCAAGAAUGAGUUUGUCUUGCUUUAUCUCGAUGACAUUCUGGUCUUUUCUGAGGAUGAGGAAGAACAUGAGAAACAUCUCAGGUUGGUGCUUGAUAAACUGAGAGAAUACAAGCUUUAUGCCAAGUUUUCCAAGUGCGAGUUCUGGCUGAAAGAAGUGGUGUAUCUUGGGCAUAUUAUCUCUGCCGAGGGCAUUAAGGUUGAUCCGUCCAAGGUUCAGGCCAUUGUUGAAUGGGAACCUCCGCAGAAUGUGAAGCAGCUUCGAAGCUUUCUCGGUCUUGCCGGAUAUUGCAGAAGAUUCGUUGAGAACUUCUCCAAAAUCGCCAAGCCGCUCUCUAGUCUUCUUCAGAAGGGUGUCAAGUAUGUGUGGUCUCCAGAGUGUCAACUGGCUUUUGAUACACUCAAAGAGAAGCUUACCUCCACUCCGGUAUUGGCUCCUCCGGAUGAUUCCAAGCCGUACCAGAUCUUUUGCGAUGCUUCCCUUCAGGGUUUUGGUGCAGUCUUGAUGCAAGAUAGGAAGGUGGUUGCUUAUACCUCCAGGCAGCUGAAGCCUGCGAAGAAGAACUAUCCUGUGCACGAUCUCGAGCUAGCAGCUGUGGUGCACGCCUUGAUGACUUGGAGACAUCUCUUGUUGGAACGUAAGGUUGAAGUGUUCACCGAUCACAAGAGCCUCAAGUAUAUCUUCACUCAGCCUAACUUGAAUCUUCGGCAAACACGUUGGGUGGAAAUGCUCCAGGAUUUUAAUCCGAGUGUUGAGUACACGCCAGGCAAGGCAAAUGUUGUGGCAGAUGCAUUGAGCAGGAAGGCAUAUUGCAACAGUCUGAUUCUGCAACCUCUCCAGCCGGGUCUUUCUGAGUCUUUCAGGAAGCUCAAUCUUCAGCUGGUUCCUAAGGGUUUUCUUGCGAACCUUCAGAUCUCUCCUACCUUGGAAGAUCAGGUCAGAGGAGCUCAGCUACUUGAUACUAUGGUGAAGAAGGUCAAGAUUGGUGUGGGGAAGAGCCUUCCCAAGUAUAAGUGUUUCACUGUGGAUGCCAGAGACACUUUGUUUUUCGAGGACCGCCUUGUCGUCCCGAAAGGUGAUCUCAGGAAGGUGAUCAUGGAAGAAGCUCAUAAUUCUCUGCUUUCUAUUCAUCCGGGAAGCUCUAAGAUGUACCAUGACUUGAAGCAGUCGUUCUGGUGGACCCGUAUGAAGCGUGAAAUUGCUCAAUUCGUCAAUGAGUGUGAUGUAUGUCGAAGGGUGAAAGCAGAACAUCAAAGACCAGCGGGCCUCUUGCAGCCUUUGCCGAUUCCCGAGUGGAAGUUCGAUCACAUUGAGAUGGACUUCGUCACAGGGUUUCCGAAGUCCAAGAAGGGAAAUGACGCUAUCUUCGUCGUCAUCGACAAAUUGAGUAAAGUGGCGCAUUUCCUUCCAGUCAAGGAGUCCAUUUCAGCAGCUCAGCUGGCAGAGUUGUACACCUCGAGGAUUGUCUCGUUGCACGGUGUACCAUGAUGAUCUCAUCAGAUCGUGGGAGUAUCUUCACUUCCAAGUUCUGGGACUCGUUUCAGUCUGCUAUGGGCACGAAGAUCCGCUUCAGCACAACGUUCCAUCCUCAGACUAGUGGUCAAGUGGAGAGAGUGAAUCAAGUUCUUGAGGACAUGCUGAGAGCCUGCAUUAUCUCGUUUGGCAUGAAGUGGGAAGAUUGUCUGCCUUUCGCGGAGUUCUCGUAUAACAACAGUUAUCAAGCUAGCUCUGGCAAGGCUCCGUUUGAGAUUCUCUAUGGCAGGAAGUGCCGUACUCCGCUCAACUGGUCCCAGACAGGCGAGCGUCAGAUCCUUGGCAAUGAUAUGAUAGAAGAAGCUGAGGAGAUGUGUCGGAUCAUUCGCGACAACCUCAGAGCAGCGCAGUCUCGGCAGAAGAGCUAUUACGAUAGCAAGCACCGUGACAUGUCGUAUGAGCUUGAUGAUUUUGUCUACCUCAAGGUGUCGCCUAUGAAGGGUAUGCAGCGUUUUGGCAUCAAGGGCAAGCUCGCGCCUCGUUUCGUUGGUCCGAUCAGAGUGGUUGGCAAGAGGGGUGACCUCGCGUACCAGCUCGAGCUUCCGUCAACCUUUGCAAAUGUCCAUGAUGUGUUCCAUGUUUCUCAGCUUCGGAGGUGUUUCAAGAACCCCGAGCGCACUGUGCAUCUUCAGGAUAUCGAUCUCCAGCCUGACCUCUCUUAUCGCGAGCAUCCAGUUGCGGUUCUCGAGGCGACUGAGCGCAAGACCCGUAACAAGUCUGUCAAGUUUCUCAAAGUGCAGUGGUCACACCAUUCCGAUAAAGAGGCUACGUGGGAACGCGAGGAUCACCUCCGUUCCGAAUUUCCCGAAUUCUUUCAGUCUUAGAUCUCGGGGUCGAGAUCUUCUUUGUAGUGUGGGAGAGUUCGUAAUGCCCCAAGUGUAGNNNNNNNNNNNNNNNNNNNNNNNNNNNNNNNNNNNNNNNNNNNNNNNNNNNNNNNNNNNNNNNNNNNNNNNNNNNNNNNNNNNNNNNNNNNNNNNNNNNNGAGCGAGGAGGAGGAGGACGAAGCGUCCAGCUGGCCCUCGCGGUCGUGGACUGGCCCAGCCAGCACCAGCAGGCCAGAGCGCCUCCAGUCGGCCCACAUCUGCUCCGUUGCCCGUGUGGGCCCGUGCAGAGCCGGCCCACCGCCUCCUCCUUUCGGCCGCUGCGGCCUCGGCUCCGACCUGGGCCUAGCCCAGCUAGGUAAGCACCGAUGGCCUUAUUCCCCGCACCAGGCGCAGUUUAGCUAACCCGCACCAUGCCUCUCUUUCGGCCCAGUAGCUAGAUUCAGCAUGUUCAAUAAUUUAGGAAUUUCUCUCGGAUUUAGUUAAUUUCAGAAAAUAGGCUAUAUUUCAAACGCCCGUAGUUUAUUAACCGAGCGUCAGAUCGAGAUGAUCUAUAUAUGGAUCUUGUGUAGUUUUGCGCGUAGAUUCGUAAUUUAUAAAUUGCAUGCAUGUUUGACGUAGUCUGGCUUGCCAUAUGCCUAGUUUAGCGUGGUGUCCUAAUAGGAGUUUAUCCCGUGUUAUUUUUUCGUGCGUGUCCGGAUUGCUCAAACUCCGUAGAUAAAAUACUCAUGUUUUAGGAACCCUUUUGCCAUGUAUUUUAGAGUAGUUGUUUGUAUUUUAACAUGUAGGUUUCCGUAGCUAGUUUGCUAUACCGUGUUUAGGACAUAUUCCCGCAUAUACGUGUGGCGUUGUUUUAAUGUUGCAACCCCACAUGUUAUAUAUGUUUUCGGGGUAGAAAAAUCCAUAGAAUUUAACUGUGCAUUUAGUUUUAGCUUUUGAGAAAGUUAGUGCGCGUGAUAUUUUGCCAUGUUGCCCUUUUGUUUAUUUUGUGGGAUUUAAUCCGUGCAUGAUAUGAAGGUGUUGUCAACUAGAGUUUUGCCCUUCGAUGUGUAGACUAGCCCCUGGUAUUUUGGUUGCAAUAGAAAUCCAUGUUUAGGUGAGGUUUGCUUGUUCUUAACUUGCUAGAAAAUAGUGUUGUUUUGGAGAUGUUGAAAUAUUUCUAAGUUUGUGAUCUGUUAUAUUUUGUUGUUGUCUUGUCAUGAUUUUAUCUGGUGUUCUAUAGCUCUUUUGAGGUUGGUGCAAUGGAGUUAGUUGUAGACUUUAAGAUUCUCUAGCAUGCUGUGAAUUUUCAUGCCAUUUGGAGUCCUUUAGCUUAUGGUUUUGCUGCUAUCAAUAUGCCUUCAGAUCGAAAACUGCACUGUCAUACACUGUGUUUUUCACUAAGUCUGAAACUGUGUGAGAGAAGCCAUUUUGUGACUUCUUUUCCUAGUGAUUCAUGCUUCCAUGCUAGGUGUUAUUAGUUGUAUGUUGUAGUGCUUCUUGCCCUCUAUCGUCUCAUGCCUUGGUUGAGUAUAUUGGAUUUGUGUAGCUCGUAGUUGUGGGGUGUAGAAAAUGCUAUGUGGCUGAUUUUGGCAGUUUGUAGUGAUUUCUUGUUUAGCUCGUAGUUGUUGAACUGUUGUUUCGUUUUGAUCGUGUUCUACAUGAAACUUGCUUAUAAUCUCGUGUAGUUCCAUAUUAUCUUGAUGGUUGUGUGUUUCGGAAUGCUUGUGACUGUCGUUGAACACAGUUUGCAUUCAUGCCAUCAUAUCUUGCGGUGUUCGUAUCUUUUGAACCGUAGCUCCGUUGGAGAUGUUCUCUAUGUGUAAAUUGCUUGUAACGACGCGUAGAAUCACGUGAACAUAUUUAUUUUUCUGUUUAACAAAUAUUUAAAAGUGUUGGUUCAGAUCUGAACAGAAUUACAAAUUAACGUAUGAGGUCAUCUCGGAGGUGCUAUAUGUCAUUUCCGACCUCAUUUAAAAUGCCUAUAUAGGUAGCUUAAUUACGCUUCACCUCUUGCCCUGUUUAACCACAUUUAAUACUAUCAUGUACCUAAUCGGGAUAGAACUAAAUAACCCGUAUGUGGAGUUUCGUCAAUAUGCAACUCGUUGCAUAUUGAACUUCUCUUAAUGUGUAGUGUUUGAUUGUUGUGAAGUGCCAUGCCAUGUCUUGCAUAUUCACCUAUUCAUGCAUCGUAUGUGGAUUGCAUCUUGUCGUGCAUAUGCCAUGGUGAAUAUCUGUGUUGAUGCUUGUUUCCGGUUUCCUUCGUCUCGAUAGAGAUCCGCAAGCAUGUCGGUUCAUCUGCUUCACGGAGUCGUUCUUCUUCCAAGAGGGAUCUCAGGUAAGAUGACCAUUUCCCCAGAUACCAUUACUAUCAUUUCCAUGCUAGUAUUAUCGUUUCUGUCGCUAUGUCUCGUUGCCUACCACCUGUUAAAUAUCAACCUCUCAACAAUUCCAUGAAAACCUUCAACCUGUUCACAACCUAGCGAACCACUGAUUGGCUAUGUUACUCCUUGCGUAAACAUGUGUUAGCAUUGCUAGUUGCAGGUGCAGUUGCUUCCAUGUGAUAACAUGGGUUCCUUGUUAUAUCACCAUAUUAAUGCUAUUUAAUUUAAUGAACCUAUAUACUUGGUAAAAGGUGGAAGGCUCGGCCUUUCUACCCUGGUGCUUUGUUCCACCUUUGCCCCCUUAGUUUCGGCUACCGGUGUUAUGUUGCAUAAUUGAGCGCUCCUAAAACGAUCGGGGUUGUUAUGGGGACCCCCUUGAUAAUUCAUUUUAGAUUAAAGCUGGUCUGGCAAGGCCCAACUUUGGUACUAGAUUUGCCUAACAACCUAAAAAAAUUGCAUAGGGACUUUCCGGACCCUGAGGAUAAUUAAUCAACCCCCGGGCUAGUGCUCCGCAUGAGUGUUGGUCCCACCAUGGCGAUGUCUCGCGCCCCCUGGUCACCCAGGGUUUAGCGAUCCCAACGUCUAGCUCAUCCGUCGUGUCCUGAGAACGAGAUACGCGGCUCCUAUCGGGAUCGUCGACACGUCGGGCGGCCUUGCUGGAUUAGUUUUACCUUUUACGAGAUAUUGAUACGUCCAUUUUACAUCAUGUUUUCAUGUUGAUAUUUAUCUCUUCUUUGGCUGUUAUUUCACUUCACGGUACAAUUCUUAUGCCUUUUCUCUCUUAUUUUGCAAGGUUUACAUGAAGAGNNNNNNNNNNNNNNNNNNNNNNNNNNNNNNNNNNNNNNNNNNNNNNNNNNNNNNNNNNNNNNNNNNNNNNNNNNNNNNNNNNNNNNNNNNNNNNNNNNNNAGGAGAAUAUUUGAGUCACGAGUUUGGCACACACCUAAGGAAGUGUGGAAUCGUUUCACAACUCACGCCGCCUGGCACACCGCAACGCAACGGAGUGUCUGAACGUCGUAAUCGCACUUUAUUAGAUAUGGUACGAUCUAUGAUGUCUCUUACCGACUUACCGCUAUCAUUUUGGGGAUACGCAUUAGAAACUGCAGCAUUCACUUUAAAUAGGGCACCGUCUAAAUCCGUUGAGACGACACCGUAUGAACUAUGGUUUGGCAAGAAACCUAAGUUGUCGUUUCUUAAAGUUUGGGGCUGCGAUGCUUAUGUGAAGAAACUUCAACCAGAAAAGCUCGAACCCAAAGCGGAGAAAUGUGUAUUCAUAGGAUACCCUAAGGAAACCAUUGGGUAUACCUUCUAUCUUAGAUCCGAAGGUAAAACCUUUGUUGCCAAGAAUGGAUCCUUUCUAGAGAAAGAGUUUCUCUCGAAAGAAGUAAGUGGGAGGAAGGUAGAACUUGAUGAGGUAAUUACACCCCCUCUCGAACAGGAUAGUAGCGCAGCGUGGGAAGUUGUUCCUGUGGCGCCUACACCGACUGAAGAGGAAGUUAAUGAUGAUGAUCAUGAAGCUUCGGAUCAAGUUACUACUGAACCGCGAAGGUCCACAAGGGCACGCUCCGCACCAGAGUGGUACGGCAACCCUGUGAUGGAAAUCAUGUUGUUAGACAACGGUGAACCUUCGAACUANNNNNNNNNNNNNNNNNNNNNNNNNNNNNNNNNNNNNNNNNNNNNNNNNNNNNNNNNNNNNNNNNNNNNNNNNNNNNNNNNNNNNNNNNNNNNNNNNNNNAGGCUUCUCCGUAAACCUAUAUGAACCCAAACGCUUUAAUCACCUCAUUAAAGCGAAUGUUCCAACUCCGAGAUGCUUACACCAGCCCAUAGAUGGAGCGCUGGAGCUUGCAUACUUUGUUAGCACGCUUAGGGUCGACAAAACCUUCUGGUUGCAUCAUAUACAACUCUUCCUUAAGGUUCCCGUUAAGGAACGUUGUUUUGACGUCCAUUUGCCAAAUUUCAUAAUCAUAAAAGGCGGCAAUUGCUAACAUGAUUCGGACUGAUUUCAGCUUCGCUACAGGAGAGAAAGUCUCUUCGUAGUCAACUCCUUGAAUUUGUCGAAAACCCUUUGCGACAAGUCGAGCUUUGUAAACGGUUACAUUACCGUUUGCAUCAGUCUUCUUCUUGAAGAUCCAUUUAUUUUCUAUGGCUCGCCGAUCAUCGGGCAAGUCCACCAAAGUCCAUACUUUGUUCUCAUACAUGGAUCCUAUCUCGGAUUUCAUAGCCUCAAGCCAUUUGUUGGAAUCCGGGCCCGCCAUCGCUUCUUCAUAGUUCGAAGGUUCACCGUUGUCUAACAACAUGAUUUCCAUCACAGGGUUGUCGUACCACUCUGGUGCGGAGCAUGCCCUUGUGGACCUUCGNNNNNNNNNNNNNNNNNNNNNNNNNNNNNNNNNNNNNNNNNNNNNNNNNNNNNNNNNNNNNNNNNNNNNNNNNNNNNNNNNNNNNNNNNNNNNNNNNNNNUGUGAAUAGACCCGGGGGGCGUAGUGUUUACUAGUGGCUUCUCUCAUGUAAGCAAGUAGACGGUGGGUGAACAAAUUACUGUCGAGCAAUUGAUAGAACCGCGCAAAGUCGUGACGAUAUCUAUGCAAUGAUUAUAUAUAUAGGCAUCACGUCCAAAACAAGUAGACCGAUACUUUCUGCAUCUACUACUAUUACUCCACACGUCGACCGCUAUCCAGCAUGCAUCUAGUGUAUUAAGUCCAUAAGAAUAGAGUAACGCCUUAAGCAAGAUGACAUGAUGUACAGGGAUAAUCUCAAACCAAUGAUAAAAACCCCAUCUUUUUACCCUUGAUGGCAACUACUUGAUGUGUGCCUUGCUACCCCUACUAUCACUGGGGCAGGUCACCACAUGGUAGAACCCAAAACCAAGCACUUCUCCCAUUGCAAGAAUCAUAGAUCUAGUUGGCCAAACAAAACCCAAGACUCGGAGAGACUUACAAGGAUAUCAAAUCAUGCAUAUAANNNNNNNNNNNNNNNNNNNNNNNNNNNNNNNNNNNNNNNNNNNNNNNNNNNNNNNNNNNNNNNNNNNNNNNNNNNNNNNNNNNNNNNNNNNNNNNNNNNNUUAGCAUACGAACAAUACGAUCUAGUGCUAUGCUUAGGAUUGGGUCUUGUCCAUCACAUCAUUCUCCCAAUGAUGUGAUCCCGUUAUCAAUGACAUCUAAUGCCCAUGAUCAGGAAACCAUGAUCAUCUAUUGACUAACGAGCUAGCCAACUAGAGGCUUGCUAGGGACACAUUGUGAUCUAUUUAUUCACACAUGUAUUACUGUUUCCUGUUAAUACAAUUAUAGCAUGAACAAUAGACGAUUAUCAUGAACAAGGAAAUAUGAUAAUAACCAUUUUAUUAUUGCCUCUAGGGCAUAUUUCCAACAUUGUCCUCAAUCCUUUACCAAAAAAUUUCAUAGCUUUGAUCCUUGCCGACCACCACAUCAAGUGAGACACUAUCCCAUGCUUGAACCAAGCACACAUCCUUCGUCUUCGUGUAGUUGUCACUCCUCCCCACCCUAGCAUCAUGGCCGACCUCGUCAAUCACUUGCACAUAAUCACCACCACCUUUCGCUUGAUCCACAUCCUCUUCAACAUCAAUGUGAUUCAAAUCAAAACCGUCAAGGGGGACACUCAAAUCCAUAUCACACUCGACCAAAAUCUCUGUAUAUGUGGAGGGAACACUUUGGCUACAAAAAUUAACGGGCAAAGGUCAAACAAGUGUUCCAAACGGGCGAAGCAAAGAUCAUCAGAGCAAACCAAGCAAUAGGAAAAGUAUAGACCUCCUGGCUGUUUCAUCGAACACAUUGUAGGCGUGACCGGUGGAGUCAUCGUGAAUGUGGAGGACAUGGUUGACCGAUGGCGGAGGAGGAUUACGGCCUCUUGUUGUGAUCGCCUUCUUUGUCGGGGGAUUUGCCGGCGCAUCGGUUGGGCCAGUGGAGGCCGUCUUCUUCCUCCCGUCGGCAGCCUUGAUGGGAGGAACCGGAGCUAGCCCGAAAGAGGGUGGUGUCGCGCCGAUUGUGCCCCCUUGGACAAAGUGGUUCCCCUACCGCUUCCUCUUGAUGGCGGUACCAGAAGGAGUUGAGGUGGCUCUAACAAGAUCGACCGAGGGAGGCACGGGAGGACGGAGCAACGACAUUGUCGGUGGCGACGACGCAUGAUAUGAGGCACCCCACGACUGCAGGUACUCCAUACAGUUCGUUUUCGAUGCCGCAAGGCCGAACGGCGAGGUCAGAGGCAAUGGCGGCGCGAGAGGUGGGAACUGAAGCGACCAAAAGUUGGUUUGCGCCAAGGGAAAGGGGAUGUGGCAAAAACCAAGUGAAGUCCCGUGGAUAUUGAGGAAAUGGGUCAUGGUAUGCAGGAUCCCGCAAAAAAACCCUGGAUGGUCGAAUAUACGUGGUCUAUUCGGGCCAGAAAAAUCACCUCCGCCCCGCAAACCAGCGGUUAUAUUGUCGGAUGGCCCGAUUUACGGGGUUCGCUAGAGAUGCUCUAACUCAAUCCCGGGUUUGCUAUAGUUUUUCAGUGAUACUUCUUUUUUUAGGGUGAUUUGCAUUUCUAUAUUCAUUUUUUGAGUUGAAAUUUAAAUAUGAAAUUUUAUGAUAUGAUAAAUUAAUACAUAAAUAUCUAAUAUAUAUGAUAACUUCUAGAGGGAUUUUACAACUGGUGAAUUUUGGGUUGGGACUACUGGAGCACCCCAUCCGAGCACCCUAGUUUCUGAGGUUAUCGAAGCGGAUGUUUGGCUCUCGUUGUAUUUGCAUCUAAUUUUUCAAGAAAGAAUUUAAGAAAAAGUAAAAAAUUCUAGAACUUUCUUGUAAACAAACUUGAUUUUGUGUUGCACUCAUAUAAAAAAAUCCGUGAACAAAAAACUUUUGUCGACUUCACGGCAAAAAGACAGAAAAGUCACACAUUAGGUGAGAUCAAUGAAAUCUAUUUUUUUUAAAUACAUAUUCGCACAUUCUCAAAAAAAUUGUAGCCACAUGUCAAUGGUUGACAUACAACCACAAAAAGAUUCAGCUCCUAAUUCGACCUACAUUAAUAGAAACAAAAAAGACAAAAUUGAACGUGAAUAGUUCCAAAAUACUAUUCACAUCUGAAUUUAUCUUUUUGAAUCUCUAAAUGUACAUCGAGGUUUGAGCUAAUUUUUUCGAGGUUGUAGAUAUACUGUUAUGACCGGCUUGGCCUAUAGCCAGCGGAGGCCCACUGGGCGUUAAUAUUAGGGGCUUGGCCCGCAAUUAUCUUAGGCAAAUUACUUUAGAACUUUAGGAAAGUUAUCUUAGGCUCGAGUUAUAAAUACUAGUUGUAAGACAUCAAUUGAGAUUAAGCAAUAAAGAUAUUAUCUUCUGUUNNNNNNNNNNNNNNNNNNNNNNNNNNNNNNNNNNNNNNNNNNNNNNNNNNNNNNNNNNNNNNNNNNNNNNNNNNNNNNNNNNNNNNNNNNNNNNNNNNNNNNNNNNNNNNNNNNNNNNNNNNNNNNNNNNNNNNNNNNNNNNNNNNNNNNNNNNNNNNNNNNNNNNNNNNNNNNNNNNNNNNNNNNNNNNNNNNNNNNNNNNNNNNNNNNNNNNNNNNNNNNNNNNNNNNNNNNNNNNNNNNNNNNNNNNNNNNNNNNNNNNNNNNNNNNNNNNNNNNNNNNNNNNNNNNNNNNNNNNNNNNNNNNNNNNNNNNNNNNNNNNNNNNNNNNNNNNNNNNNNNNNNNNNNNNNNNNNNNNNNNNNNNNNNNNNNNNNNNNNNNNNNNNNNNNNNNNNNNNNNNNNNNNNNNNNNNNNNNNNNNNNNNNNNNNNNNNNNNNNNNNNNNNNNNNNNNNNNNNNNNNNNNNNNNNNNNNNNNNNNNNNNNNNNNNNNNNNNNNNNNNNNNNNNNNNNNNNNNNNNNNNNNNNNNNNNNNNNNNNNNNNNNNNNNNNNNNNNNNNNNNNNNNNGGCCGCACCUCCGGCCGCCACACGGACCUUCCGCAGGUUGUCCCCGGCCGAGCAACAGGAGCGUCGACGUCAGGGUCUCUGCUUUAAUUGCGAUGAGCCCUACAUGCCGACACAUGUCUGCCCCCGCCUCUUCUACUUGGAGACGGUCGACUACACCGAGGCGGACGAGACGACCGACGCACCAGACACGGCCGCAAAUUCUACGGCGACGGCCUGCGUCGUCUCUCUCCACGCCCUAGCCGGCAUCCGUCAUGAGCGGACCAUGUUACUGCCCGUGACGAUCCAUGGCGAGCAGCUGGUGGCCCUACUGGAUACGGGCUCCACUCAUAACUUCCUGCCCGAGGCAACCAUGCGUCGUCUAGCUAUUCCGACCACGGGCGGGGAGCGCCUUCGGAUCACGGUAGCCAACGGUGACCGCCUCCAGUGUCAUGGACUCGCCCGCGACGUUCCCAUCACCAUCGGGGGCGAACACUUUUCCAUUACCUGUGCCGGCAUCGACCUCGGCUGUUUCGACUUCAUCCUCGGUGUGGACUUCCUCCGGACCCUCGGGCCCAUCGUGUGGGACUUCGACGCGCUCACGAUGACAUUCUGGCGGCUGGGACGCCAAAUCCGGUGGGACGGCAUUGGGGGCGCUAAGCCAGCCGUGCCACAUCUUCAGCUGGCCGCCGCCUCCUCCGAGACCGAGCACCCUCUGCUGGAUCCCCUUCUGCAGCAACAUAGCGCCCUCUUCGAUGAGCCGCGGGGACUUCCACCUGCUCGGGUGUACGACCAUCGCAUUCACCUUGUGCCGGGCUCCACUCCCGUGGCGGUGUGACCUUACCGCUACCCUCAGCUACAGAAGGAUGAGUUGGAGAGACAGUGUGCCCUUAUGCUCGCAGCGGGCAUCAUCCGGAUCUCGACGUCACCCUUCUCCGCGCCGGUACUUCUCGUCCGCAAGACAGAUGGCACAUGGCGUUUCUGCAUCGACUACCGCGGCCUGAACGCGCUCACACUCAAGGACAAGUUUCCGAUACCGGUGGUCGACGAGCUCUUGGAUGAGCUUCAUGGGGCGCGCUUCUUCACCAAACUCGAUCUCCGGUCGGGCUAUCACCAGGUGCGCAUGCAUCCGGACGACAUCGCCAAGACGGCGUUUCGCACCCACCAUGGCCACUUCGAGUUCUUGGUGAUGCCUUUCGGCCUCGCCAAUGCCCCGGCGACCUUCCAGGCCCUGAUGAAUGACAUUCCGCGACCCUACUUACGGCGGUUUGUGCUGGUUUUCUUUGAUGAUAUUCUUAUCUUCAGCGCCACCUGGGCCGAGCACCUCCAGCACGUCGCCAUCGUCUUCAACGAGCUUCGGGCGCACGACCUCCACCUUAAGCGCUCGAAGUGCUCGUUCGGGACACCUACCGUUGCCUACCUCGGCCAUGUCAUCUCGGCCGACGGGGUGGCUAUGGACGCCGACAAGGUGGCAGCUGUCUCCGCCUGGCCGACGCCUCACUCGCCGCGGGCUCUCCGCGGGUUCCUUGCCUCGCAGGAUACUACCGGAAAUUUAUCCGGGAGUUCGGGCUCAUCGCGGCCCCUCUCACGCGGCUGCUCCGCCGCGAUGCCUUCGCCUGGGACGACAAGGUGACAGCGGCAUUCGAGGCCCUCAAAGGGGCCCUCACGACGGGUCCCGUCCUCCAGAUGCCUGACUUCGACCGCCCGUUCGUAGUGGACUGUGACGCUUCGGGCAUGGGCUUCGGCGCCGUGCUUCAUCAGGGCGAGGGGCCCAUUGCUUUCUUCAGCCGGCCUUUUGCUCCGCGCCAUCUUAAGCUGGCGGCGUACGAGCGGGAGCUCAUUGGCCUGGUGCAGGCCGUGCGCCAUUGGCGGCCGUACUUGUGGGGACGGGUCUUCCACAUCCGUACGGACCAUUACAGCUUGAAGUUCUUACUGGACCAACGGCUGUCGACUGUGCCGCAGCACCAGUGGAUCAGCAAGCUCUUCGGCUUCGACUUCUCCGUCGAGUAUCGUCCGGGCCGCCUUAACACCGUGGCCGACGCGCUGUCCCGUCGCGACUCCGAUCUCGCUCCUUCCACCGACGAGGACGCUAGGGCGUCGCUGUGCGUCCGCUCCGGUCCGACGUUCGGCCUCUUCGCCGACAUUCGCCGCGCCACUUCAACAGCCGACGACGCCGUUCUUCUCCAGCGGCAACUCACGGCCGGCGACCUGGAGGAGCCCUGGCGCUUCGCUGACGGACUGCUUCUCCAUGGGCGCCGGAUCUUUGUUCUGGCGCAUGAUGAUCUCCGUCACCAGGUGUUAUAGCUCGCCCACUCGGCGGGUCAUGAGGGUGUGCAGAAAACCCUACCUCGUCUUCGCGCUGACUUCUACAUUCCCGGCGAUCGCGCCCUGGUCCGCGACUGGGUUCGGUCUUGUCAGACAUGCCAGCGCAACAAGAUGGUGACCCUGAGACCGGCUGGGUUACUUCAGCCCUUGGAGGUGCCGUCUCAGGUCUGGGCGGAUAUUUCCAUGGACUUCAUCGAGGGCCUCCCCUAGGUGGGCGGCAAGUCGGUCAUCCUUACGGUGGUCGACCGCUUUUCUAAGUACGCCCACUUCAUCGCGCUCGGUCAUCCGUACACGGCGCCGCCCGUGGCACGGGCCUUCUUCGACGACAUCGUUCGCUUACACGGGUUCCCAGCUUCGAUCGUCAGUGAUCGGGACCCGGUGUUCACGGGACAUGUCUGGCGCGACCUCUUCAGGAUGGCGGGCGUCCAACUUCGCCUGAGUACGGCAUUUCAUCCUCAGACGGACGGUCAGUCCGAGGUGGUUAACAAGGUCAUUGCCAUGUAUUUUGCGUUGUGUGACAGGUGAUCGGCCUCGAGCUUGGGUGGACUGGCUCACUUGGGCGGAGUACUGCUACAACACCUCCUAUCACUCCGCCCUUCGUGCCACGCCGUUUGAGGUGGUAUAUGGUCGUCCACCCCCGCCUAUACUUCCGGUGGACCCGGUGUUGGAAAUAUGCCCUAGAGGCAAUAAUAAAAUGGUUAUUAUCAUAUUUCCUUGUUCAUGAUAAUCGUCUAUCGUUCAUGCUAUAAUUGUAUUAACAGGAAACAGUAAUACAUGUGUGAAUGAAUAGAUCACAAUGUGUCCCUAGCAAGCCUCUAGUUGGCUAGCUCGUUAGUCAAUAGAUGAUCAUGGUUUCCUGAUCAUGGACUUUGGAUGUCAUUGAUAACGGGAUCACAUCAUUGGGAGAAUGAUGUGGUGGACAAGACCCAAUCCUAAGCCUAGCACUAGAUCGUAUUGUUCGUAUGCUAAUGCUUUUCUAAUGUCAAGUAUCUUUUCCUUCGACCGUGAGAUUGUGCAACUCCCGGAUACCGUAGGAGUGCUUUGGGUGUAUCAAACGUCACAACGUAACUGGGUGACUAUAAAGGUGCACUACGGGUACCUCCGAAAGUGUCUGUUGGGUUGGCACGAAUCGAGAUCGGGAUUUGUCACUCCGUGUGACGGAGAGGUAUCUCUGGGCCCACUCGGUAGAACAUCAUCAUGAGCUCAAAGUGACUAAGGAGUUAGUCACACGAUGACGUGCUACGGAACGAGUAAAGAGACUUACCGGUAACGAGAUUGAACAAGGUAUAGGUAUACCGACGAUCGAAUCUCGGGCAAGUUCUAUACCGACAGACAAAGGGAAUCGUAUACGGGAUUGCUUGAAUCCUUGACAUCGUGGUUCAUCCGAUGAGAUCAUCGUGGAGCUAGUGGGAGCCACCAUGGGUAUCCAGACCCCGCUGAUGGUUAUUGGCCAGAGAGAUGUCUCGGUCAUGUCUGCGUGUCUCCCGAACCCGUAGGGUCUACACACUUAAGGUUCGAUGACGCUAGGGUUAUAGGGAAUUGUUAUACGAGAUUACCGAAAGUUGUUCGGAGUCCUGGAUGAGAUCCAGGACGUCACGAGGAGCUCCGGAAUGGUCCGGAGGUAAAGAUUGAUAUAUAGGACGGAUGGUUUCGGACACCGGAAGUGUUUCGGGCAUCACCGGUAACGUACCGGGACCACCGGGAUCACCGGAGGUGGUCCCGGGGGACCACCGAAGGGGGGCUGCGACCCCAAGAGGUAAGAUGGGCUAAGUGGGGGUGGGAACCAGCCCCUAGUUGGGCUGGUGCGCCUCCCCACUCAGCCCAUGGCGCAGGGGAAAGAAAAAGAGGGGGGGGGAACCCUAACUUAGGUGGGCCUUAGGCCCACCAGAGGGGUGCGCCAACCCCUCCUCCCCAUCUGGCCGCCACAAACCCCAUCUGGGAGGGCUGCCGCACCCCCUAGGGUGGGAACCCUAGGGGUGGCACCCCCUCUCCCCUUCCCCUAUAUAUAGUGGGCACUUUUGGCCUUUGGAGGACACAUUUUUCCCUCUCCCUCGGCGCAGCCCUGCACUUCUCCCUCCUCCUCUCUGCCGGCGCUUGGCGAAGCCCUGCCGGGAGACCUCGUCUCUCCACCGACACCACGCCGUCGUGUUGCUGGACUUCUUCCCCAACCUCUCCCUCCUCCUUGCUGGAUCAAGGUGCGGGAGACGUCACCGGGCUGCACGUGUGUUGAACGCGGAGGUGCCGUUGUUCGGCACUAGAUCGGAAUCGCUGCGAGUACGACUCCAUCAACCGCGUUCUAGCAACGCUUCCGCUUAGCGAUCUUCAAAGGUACGAAGAUGCUCUUACCCCUCUCUCGUUGCUGGUCUCUCCAUAGGAAGAUCUGAAUAAGCGUAGGAAAAUUUUGAAUUUAUGCUACGUUACCCAACACCCGGAGACGGCUCGGACGGCGGUUGCGGGUGACCUUAUCCGCACUCGUGACGAGAUGCUUGCUGAGGUCCGUCAGUGUCUUCUUCAGGCCCAGCAGUUGGCCAAGCACUACUACGACGAUCACCAUCGCGAGGCGGAAUUCGCCGUGGGUGAUUGGGUGUGGCCGCGUCUUCUCCACCGCUCUACGCAGUCACUCGACCCGCCCGCGAAGCGCAAGCUCGGCCCUCGCUACGCUGGGCCCUUCCCUAUCGUGGAGCGCAUUGGGAAGGUGGCCUAUCGUCUUCAGCUGCCAGAUCACGCUCGUAUCCACGACGUCUUCCAUGUGGGGCUGCUCAAGCCUUUCCGUGGCGAGCCACCGGCGGCCCCUCCGGCGCUUCCUCCAACCGCCGAUGGUCGCAUCCUUCCAGAACCAGCCAAGGUGUUGCAGGCACAGCUUCAACGUGGAGUGUGGUUCGUCCUCGUUCAGUGGACGGAUCUUCCGGAGGAGGAAGCUACGUGGGAGCAGCGUGAGGAAUUCCGCCAACACUAUCCAAACUUUCAGCUCGAGGACGAGCUGUUUGUGCAGGCGGGGAGAGAUGUUAUGACCGACUUGGCCUAUAGCCGGCGGAGGCCCACUGGGCGUUAAUAUUAGGGGCUUGGCCCGCAAGUUAUCUUAGGCAAAUUACUUUAGGACUUUAGGAAAGUUAUCUUAGGCUCGAGUUAUAAAUACUAGUUGUAAGACAUCAAUUGAGAUUAAGCAAUAAAGAUAUUAUCUUCUGUUUCCCGGCUUCCCAAGGAGCAGGAACCCUAGCCUCCGCCGCGCCCAGCCCUAGCCGCGACGGCGCCCUCUCGCCGGCGCGUCCGCUCCAGCCCUCGCUCUCCUCCUCCUUGCCCAUACAAUCUACGCCGGAGGCCCGGUAGGAACCCUAGUCCUACCAUAUACCCACAUGGACAAGAAGAGCUCAUCACCACCGAGGAAGUUGGCAGGGGCGACGACAACCUUAGGUCGAUGGGACGGGUCAGGGAAGCCGGUCCGCAAUGGAGGAGAAGGGGCGACCAUCAUGGAGGGGUCAGGGAUGGCUGUGGACUGGACAUGGAGACGUUAUAGAGGAUCACCGUUGGUAGAACUGAUGACGUUGGGGAGAAACCGGUUGGGGGCGUCAACCCUAGGCCGAUGGGGUUUGUGGAGGCUGGGGGUGAGAGACUGGUGUGGGGGGAGGGAGCGAGAGUAUGAGACCAAAUAAUCGAGUAUUUAGGCCUCCAUUGGUCUUUUAACUCCGGUCCAAGCUUCCUCAUGUUAACAAUAGGUGACGUGUACAAAACGUAUGCAUUUGACUGUCUUUGAGAAACUGAGACGACAUGUCUUCGAAUCAAUGAAGGUGUACUGAGAAAAUUAUGUAUAUCCGGCUAGUGAGCUAGAAUACUAUGCAUAUCCGGCUCGUGAUCAGUAAUACUAUGCAUGUUCGGUUAGUGGUCAACAAAAUUAUGCAUAUCCUGUUUGUGAUCAACAAAAUAAGUUACUAUACUAAAACGGCAAGCUUUUUUUGACAUUUUUUCCAACGCCUACUGUUCAAUCAUGUGGGAAAAGUAACGGUGGCAAGUAAGCAAUAAUUAUGCAUAUGUAGACAGUAAAUAUGGAUGAACAGUACCUUCGCAUGCUCAGUUUUCAGCUACGUGGCGGGUUUCCUUCUUCUAUCUUCCAGAGAGAAAGGGAGAGACCGGCUUCUAAACAAUAUUUUCAGAAGAAACAAAAGGCCUUUUUAUAUACUCUCUCCGUCCUAAAUUUUUUGUCUUACAUUUGUUUAUAUAUGAAUGUAUCUAGUCAUAUUUUAGUAUAUAGAUACAUCCAUUUUUAGACAACCUAAGACAAAAAAUUUAGGACAGAGGGAGUACUAAAUAUCAUAGUAGGUUUUCAUAUUCUCAAAAGGAAUAUCUUCAUGUGUGUUUUAUAGCCCUUUUAUUAUACGUAUAUAAGUACUAUGAUAUUAUCAUUAUUAUUCACACUCUGCAAACUGUUUACUUCUUGCCUCUAACACAUUAUGUCACGAUCUCUUUUGAACUUACUCAUAUAUAAUUAUGUAAAGUGAUAUACAUAGAUCUAAAGGAAUACUUAAAAAACACCACGUAGGCAAAAAAAGGUCUAAUAAAUACCAAUAUAGUUCGUUGCAAAAAAAACAGUAGCAAUAGUAAACCGGGAAGCCUUUGAUUUUUCUCAUUUUUUGACUUUUUUAAGUGCUUAUGCGCUGAUCCGAAAGCCAAAGCGAACGUUGGCGUCCGUCGGGCAGACCCAAACGAACGAAAAGCGGACAAAAUAACGAUCGGUUUGGAUCGUCCCAUUGGAGUUGGUCUUAACAUCCAUCGUAAUAUCUCGGGUUGGUUCCUGCCCAUCACAAGUCGCUCGCUCGGGUGACCAUCUUCUUAGUUGUUCCAAGAAAGAGAGUCAACAAGACAUGGAAGAGAGAUGGGGAAGCGGUAGUCGCUGCCUCCACCGAUCCACCCUCACUGCUCGUGCCCAUCAUCCUCCGCCGCCAUCCGCCACCGACCGUCCAUCCCCGCCCACCUCGCCGUCUCAACUGCUGCCGAUGCGGCUCUCGACCUAGAUUUCACAUCUCUCUACCGGGAGCUGGCAAGCAUGGCGGCGAUGCGACAAAGGCAUCGGCGAACGACACAACAUGAUAGUGGUCUCUUUUCCAAUUGUCGUCCGUGUGUGAUGGCGUCGUUGUCAGUAACGCAACUCCGUUUCCCUCUAUCGCUCCCCCAUCAUCUACUUUGGUGUGUACUGGUCAUGAGGGAUCGCAGCCACAAACCUUAGGCCGAAGGCGCCUGUGGCGGAGAUCAAGAGUGGGUGGAGGGUUGUCGCCGCAGCUCCGGAAGACCCUGGAGAAAUUUCAUCUGACGCUAGAUAUCUUCCCUGACUACUCCGAAUCGCUUCAUUGCCCUUCUCUCUCCUGGUUCUCUCAUAUCCGUGCUCUUGGUUUCUCCAUCCAAGCAUGGGAGGCAGCCUAGCGGUGCCGACAAUGGCAACAAGUCACACUACGGAGGCGAAGGACAGUGAAGCUGUAGUUGUGCUUUGAUGAUACACAUAUCCUUCAGUUGAGUAAUUAUUGAAGUAUCAACAAAAGUGUCAUUAUAGUUCACAUGUUUCAUUUGUUGGAGUAAUUAUUGAAGUAGCAACUUAUCUUGCCUUUAUAUUCUGCCACCCCAACCCCCUCGCCCACCAACAACCAUUUCUCCUCUCCUCUUGUUCUUCCUUGCACGAAAAAGCUCUCCCUUGUCCUCAAGAUCCCCCUUCGAUCUCCCUCCUUCCGAUCUCCCUCCUCCCUCAAUCUUUUUUCUAGGAAGGAGGGAGAUCAAAGGGGGGGAUCUGGAGGCCGAGACUUUCUUUUUUCGCCAAAGAAACUAACAAGAGAGAGGAAAAAGGAGGUUGGUGGCCGACGGAGUCGGGCUGACAAAUUAUAAAGGUAAGAAACGCUAUGGUGCCUGACGUUUCAUGUCAGGCCUGCAACGCCACAGCGGCUGGCGUUUGACAUGCGGCCAGAAACGCCACAGUAGACAGACGUUUUGAGCAUGUCCAGGAACGCCACAUUAGAGUGGCGUUUGUACGUAGGGCUGCAACGCCACGAUCUACGGCGUUUCAAAAGAGUCAAAACGUGAAAUUCUUUCGAAACGAGUUCGUUGCGUGAUUAACUCGCACCCCUAGAAUCAAAACAGUGAAAAAACCCUCAUGACUGGUAGCACCGGACGCUGGUGAUAUUUUAUCCUCUAGUCAUUUUUUUUUGGCGAUGUUCACAUGUGUUUGGCUAGAUAACGAUGGGAAACUGCACGCCUGCAGCGACUUCGUUCGUUACAUAAAUCUGAUUACCGCCGACCUGUGGGCAACUCGAGUUCUAGAGAAGCUCUGAACCGCACUGUAGUAAGGUUUGUGACCGGAUUCGACGACACAACCAAAAGUGCAGCUCAAAAUUCAGGGAGGGUGAGCCGUUGAGCAGUGAAGUGGCGUUGUUGUUCCCAUUCGCAAAAAAAGAAGAACAAAAAAGUAGCGUUGUUGUACGCUGCUGGGCGCUGUUGGAGGCCGCCGCUGGGAGGGAGCAGAAGUCCAGCAAACUGUAGCGGCUCAGCAGCCGGCAGGUGGAGACCGGGGAAUGCCUGCUGAUGGAAAGCUGUGGCCUCAAUCUAUUCUGGCAUAGAUCUUAACGAGUUCAGGGUGACAUGCAUCUGUAAUUAGUUGGGUCACAUCAACCAAAAAAUAGUCUUUAUUCGCUAAUCGUAUGAGUACAAGGCUACAAGAUUCACUCAUGUACAACGAGAGCAGUGGAACGGAGGAGGGGAAGAAAAGGAGCAGUGAACAGAACGCAAGCGGAAUCGAAGAGGAAGGAGUGCAUGCACUGUCCAACGAACGAACCAGGAACAAGGCCAGGGUCUCGCCCCCAGCCUAAUAACCAGGUAGUCCAUCUACCCUGCUGCCCGCGCUAUUGGGAAUUGCCGUCCUUGCCCUUCUCCCCCUCGUCGUCGCCCACCGCCGGCGGCGGCGAGUCAGCCGCCGGGUCGGCCAGGGGCGUCAGGUGGAAGGCCACGAACUGGGCGGCGCCGGGGUUGAAGGACCCGAACUUGGGCGUCGUCUCCACCCCGGAGAAGCUCCGCGCCAGGAACGAGAAUC